AUUGAACGCUGGCGGCAUGCUUUACACAUGCAAGUCGGACGAGUGGCGAACGGGUGAGUAACGCAUCGGAACGUACCGAGUAAUGGGGGAUAACUGUCCGAAAGGACAGCUAAUACCGCAUAUUAUUCGAGCGGCCGAUGUCUGAUUAGCUGGUUGGCGGGGUAAAGGCCCACCAAGGCGACGAUCAGUAGCGGGUCUGAGAGGAUGAUCCGCCACACUGGGACUGAGACACGGCCCAGACUCCUACGGGAGGCAGCAGUGGGGAAUUUUGGACAAUGGGCGCAAGCCUGAUCCAGCCAUGCCGCGUGUCUGAAGAAGGCCUUCGGGUUGUAAAGUUCUUUCGGUAGCGAGGCGUUAACUACAGAAGAAGCACCGGCUAACUCCGUGCCAGCAGCCGCGGUAAUAC
rnacentral:rRNA from 1 species